rnacentral:lncRNA from 1 species
NNNNNNNNNNNNNNNNNNNNNNNNNGAAAGCCCAUCUUUUCUACUUUUAAAAUCUCAUGGAGGUACCAACCAGAUAGGACUUGAAUGGAAGAUCACCUGAUAUUACCCUGUUCCAUAGGCUUUUGGCAUCUCCAUUCAUUCUGGAACAGCCAGUCAGCCCUCUCUGCUGUGUCCCAGAGCACCAGGAAGUGAAUAACAGUCCUAGAGUGAGACACGGAGGAUACAGCCAAGUAUCAGAGGUGAGUGGCCAGGCAGCCAAUGGCUCUUCUGUCUCAUCCCGUCUGCAUGAGCAUUGUGGGGAGGAGGUCUGGGUGACAGCAACCAUUUGGAGUCUCCUCCCUCCUCACUGGAGAAUAGCAAGACCUGAGGUCUGCAAGGACCCUACCAUCUUGCCUUCGUUGGGGGUCCCUCAGCAGCCAACCGCCUAUGCUCCGGGUCUUCAGUUCCGAUUUUGAUGAUUCCUGGAGAUGCUAUAGAGUUGUCACCUGUCUUGACAGUAAGUGUGUGGGAGCUGGGUUUACUCUGGCAGAAAGAGAAGUACAGGGACUCCUCAGGAGCAAAGCCUCUUCAGGAAAGAAGAGUUGACCUCAGGCGUCUCUUUCAGGAGUGCUGGCUUGCUGCUGCUUCUACACGUCACCGUACUGGGGGAAUCUUAUGUGAAGCCGCCCCAUGUCCUGUCUGCCUGGACACUCACUAUGCAGAUAGCUCUCUGCAUUCAGCAGGGUCUGGCCUAGGCCCUCUCCUGGGGGCUGGAGACCCCUCUGUUCUUCUCCAGACCCUGCAGAAUUCUGGAGAGGAGAGGAAGGUGGAACACACACUUUCUUCCUGCUUUUCUAGGUUGCUGGGUCAUCUCUCUCCUUCUUUUAGCUAUGAACUCACAGUCCACCCCCUUCUUCUUCUUUACAAGCCCCUUGGGUCCUCCAAGAAC